rnacentral:rRNA from 1 species
CGGCGGACGGGUGAGUAACGCGUGGGUAACCUACCCUGUACACACGGAUAACAUACCGAAAGGUAAUGCUAAUACGGGAUAAUAUAUUUGAGAGGCAUCUCUUGAAUAUCAAAGGUGAGCCAGUACAGGAUGGACCCGCGUCUGAUUAGCUAGUUGGUAAGUAACGGCUUACCAAGGCGACGAUCAGUAGCCGACCUGAGAGGGUGAUCGGCCACAUUGGAACUGAGACACGGUCCAA